rnacentral:rRNA from 1 species
GGGUUGUGAGGUUAAGCGACUAAGCGUACACGGUGGAUGCCCUGGCAGUCAGAGGCGAUGAAGGGCGUGCUAAUCUGCGAUAAGCGCCGGUAAGGUGAUAUGAACCGUUAUAACCGGCGAUACCCGAAUGGGGAAACCCAGUGUGACUCGUCACACUAUCAUUAACUGAAUCCAUAGGUUAAUGAGGCGAACCGGGGGAACUGAAACAUCUAAGUACCCCGAGGAAAAGAAAUCAACCGAGAUUCCCCCAGUAGCGGCGAGCGAACGGGGAGGAGCCCAGAGCCUGAAUCAGCAUGUGUGUUAGUGGAAGCGUCUGGAAAGGCGCGCGAUACAGGGUGACAGCCCCGUACACAAAAGCGCAUGUGCUGUGAGCUCGAUGAGUAGGGCGGGACACGUGGUAUCCUGUCUGAAUAUGGGGGGACCAUCCUCCAAGGCUAAAUACUCCUGACUGACCGAUAGUGAACCAGUACCGUGAGGGAAAGGCGAAAAGAACCCCGGCGAGGGGAGUGAAAAAGAACCUGAAACCGUGUACGUACAAGCAGUGGGAGCCCCACCACCAAAGCAUUCUCUGGUGUUGAAGGCCCUGCAAAGCAGCAUCGCGGUGGCGGAGCGUCGUUUGCGACGCCCAACACACAAAACAAGCGGUGAAUGCUUUGGGGUGGGGUGACUGCGUACCUUUUGUAUAAUGGGUCAGCGACUUAUAUUCUGUAGCAAGGUUAACCGAAUAGGGGAGCCGGAGGGAAACCGAGUCUUAAUUGGGCGUUAAGUUGCAGGGUAUAGACCCGAAACCCGGUGAUCUAGCCAUGGGCAGGUUGAAGGUUGGGUAACACUAACUGGAGGACCGAACCGACUAAUGUUGAAAAAUUAGCGGAUGACCUGUGGCUGGGGGUGAAAGGCCAAUCAAACCGGGAGAUAGCUGGUUCUCCCCGAAAGCUAUUUAGGUAGCGCCUCGUGAAUUCAUCUCCGGGGGUAGAGCACUGUUUCGGCUAGGGGGCCAUCCCGGCUUACCAACCCGAUGCAAACUGCGAAUACCGGAGAAUGUUAUCACGGGAGACACACGGCGGGUGCUAACGUCCGUCGUGAAGAGGGAAACAACCCAGACCGCCAGCUAAGGUCCCAAAGUCAUGGUUAAGUGGGAAACGAUGUGGGAAGGCCCAGACAGCCAGGAUGUUGGCUUAGAAGCAGCCAUCAUUUAAAGAAAGCGUAAUAGCUCACUGGUCGAGUCGGCCUGCGCGGAAGAUGUAACGGGGCUAAACCAUGCACCGAAGCUGCGGCAGCGACGCUGAUGCGUUGUUGGGUAGGGGAGCGUUCUGUAAGCCUGCGAAGGUGACCUGUGAGGGUUGCUGGAGGUAUCAGAAGUGCGAAUGCUGACAUAAGUAACGAUAAAGCGGGUGAAAAGCCCGCUCGCCGGAAGACCAAGGGUUCCUGUCCAACGUUAAUCGGGGCAGGGUGAGUCGACCCCUAAGGCGAGGCCGAAAGGCGUAGUCGAUGGGAAACGGGUUAAUACUCCCGUUGUUGGUGUGACUGCGAAGGGGGGGCGGGGAAGGCUAUGUUGGCGUGUCGACGCUUGUCCCGGUUUAAGCGUGUAGGUGUGUGUUCCAAGUAAAUCCGGUUCACUUUAGCACUGAUGCGUGAUGACGAGGCACUACGGUGCUGAAGCAACAAAUGCUCUGCUUCCCGGAAAAGCCUCUAAGCAUCAGGUAACAUCAAAUCGUACCCCAAACCGACACAGGUGGUCAGGUAGAGAAUACCAAGGCGCUUGAGAGAACUCGGGUGAAGGAACUAGGCAAAAUGGUGCCGUAACUUCGGGAGAAGGCACGCUGACACGUAGGUGAAGUGAUUUACUCACGGAGCUGAAGUCAGUCGAAGAUACCAGCUGGCUGCAACUGUUUAUUAAAAACACAGCACUGUGCAAACACGAAAGUGGACGUAUACGGUGUGACGCCUGCCCGGUGCCGGAAGGUUAAUUGAUGGGGUCAGCGCAAGCGAAGCUCCUGAUCGAAGCCCCGGUAAACGGCGGCCGUAACUAUAACGGUCCUAAGGUAGCGAAAUUCCUUGUCGGGUAAGUUCCGACCUGCACGAAUGGCGUAAUGAUGGCCAGGCUGUCUCCACCCGAGACUCAGUGAAAUUGAACUCGCUGUGAAGAUGCAGUGUACCCGCGGCAAGACGGAAAGACCCCGUGAACCUUUACUAUAGCUUGACACUGAACAUUGAGCCUUGAUGUGUAGGAUAGGUGGGAGGCUUUGAAGCGUGGACGCCAGUCUGCGUGGAGCCAACCUUGAAAUACCACCCUUUAAUGUUUGAUGUUCUAACGUGGACCCGUGAUCCGGGUUGCGGACAGUGUCUGGUGGGUAGUUUGACUGGGGCGGUCUCCUCCUAAAGAGUAACGGAGGAGCACGAAGGUUGGCUAAUCCUGGUCGGACAUCAGGAGGUUAGUGCAAUGGCAUAAGCCAGCUUGACUGCGAGCGUGACGGCGCGAGCAGGUGCGAAAGCAGGUCAUAGUGAUCCGGUGGUUCUGAAUGGAAGGGCCAUCGCUCAACGGAUAAAAGGUACUCCGGGGAUAACAGGCUGAUACCGCCCAAGAGUUCAUAUCGACGGCGGUGUUUGGCACCUCGAUGUCGGCUCAUCACAUCCUGGGGCUGAAGUAGGUCCCAAGGGUAUGGCUGUUCGCCAUUUAAAGUGGUACGCGAGCUGGGUUUAGAACGUCGUGAGACAGUUCGGUCCCUAUCUGCCGUGGGCGCUGGAGAACUGAGGGGGGCUGCUCCUAGUACGAGAGGACCGGAGUGGACGCAUCACUGGUGUUCGGGUUGUCAUGCCAAUGGCACUGCCCGGUAGCUAAAUGCGGAAGAGAUAAGUGCUGAAAGCAUCUAAGCACGAAACUUGCCCCGAGAUGAGUUCUCCCUGAGACUUAGAGUCUCCUGAAGGAACGUUGAAGACGACGACGUUGAUAGGCCGGGUGUGUAAGCGCAGCGAUGCGUUGAGCUAACCGGUACUAAUGAACCGUGAGGCUUAACCUUACAACGCCGAAG